UUUUUGUGUGUGCAAAUCAACAAAUCUUGUUUGCAAUCAAUGGCCCACAUUUGUGAGAGUAUUUUGUAAUAUAGUAUCUCAUAGAAAAUGUUGAUUCUGAAAGGAAACUAAAGGUUUUCUGACAAAUGUAGUGGGGUGUACUCAUUUAUGCUGAGCACUGUAUAUAUAUGGUGGUGCAGUGGUUAACACUGUUGCCUCACACCUCUGGGACCCAGGUUCGAGUCUCUGCCUGGAUUACAUGUGUGUGGAGUUUGCAUGUUCUCCCCGUGUCCUCGUGGGGUUUCCUCCGGGUACUCCGGUGUACCCCCACAAUCAAAAACAUGCUGAGGCUAAUUGGAGUUACUAAAUUGCCCAUAGGUGUGCAUGUGAGAGUGAAUGGUAUGUGAGUGUGACCUGUGAUGGGCUGGCCCCCCAUCCUAGGUUGUUCCCUGCCUCGUGCCCAUUUUAUUGACAUAAAAGUCUGUUCCUCUAAUUAUAGAAUAAUAUAUAGAAUAAUUAUACAAGAGCUAUAAUUAUUAUGAUGUUAUUAUUUAAUUGUGUGGGCCGUGUUGCUUGAUUACAUUUGACUCUUCGGCACGUGGGACGCUGCCGGUUUGAAAGACGCAGCUUCACUUGUUUUCUGCACCAAGAUGACGAGAAACAAACGAAUUGCAAAAGCUGUCAGCUGGAGCAACGAUCGAUACUGGGCAACUUGGGACAAGUGGAUGGAAGUGAUUGACUGGGAAGAUGAGGAAGAGCUGUGCUCCCCAGCAGAAUCACCCUCUGACCAGGCUGACCGUUCCAUCGUGUCACACACCCGAAAGCCAAUUGCCAAGGCAGUUAGCUGGACGGAUGAUGUGUAUUGGGCAGCCUGGGACAAGUGGGAUGAGAUCAUCUGCUGGGGUGAAGAAGGAGAGUGCUCCCCAGCAACUCCACCCAUCAACCAGCCUGGGAGGGAUAAGGGGUUAGACAUGCAUGGGUUAGAGGUUUUUCUGUUAAAUGAAAGGACAGUCUCCAUAAAGCCUGCAGAUGACCACCAAGACAGGCUGAAAAUAGGAGCCGUAGUGGUCGACCUCUGCCAGUUUGAGCUAGAUGGUGUAAAUGAUAAAUUUGAAAUUGUCGAAAUACAAAUUGGAGAGGUCAAAUUGGAGGAGACUGCAGAGAGGGGUUUUAAUUCAGAAUUUGAAUUGGAAAUUUUGGAUGUGGAGAUAGAGGUUGUAGACAGUGAAUUCCAGCUGAAUGCUCUUAAUUGGGAAAUUGCUGGAACUAAAGUGGACAAAUUAUUAGUGGAACACCUGAACAUAAAUAAUCUAGAAGCAGGCAGUGUGAAGGUGUCCACAUCAAAUGGGAAUGUGGUAUAUGUCAAUGGUAUGUGAGUGUGUUUGGUAAUGAUGGGUGUGAAUGGUGUGUGUAAGUGGUGUGUGUGUGUGUGUGUGUGUAUGAGAAUGGUGAUUGAAUGGUGUGUGUGAGGUAAUGGCGUGUGUGUGAGGUAAUGGCAUGUGUGAGUGAGUGUGAGUGGUAAUGGCGUGUGUGAGUGAAUGGUGUGUGUGAGUAUAUGGUGUAUGUGAAUGGUCUAUGUGUGUGUGAAUGGGGAGUGAAUGGUGUGUGAGUGACUGGUGUGUGUCUGGUGUUUAUGAAUGGUGUGUGUGAGUGAAUGCUGUGUGAAUGGUGUUCAUGAAUGGUGUGUGUGUGAGUGAAUGCUGUGUGAGUGACUGGUGUGUGAAUGGUGUUUAUGAAUGGUGUGUGAAUGAAUGGUGAGUUUUUGUGUGUGUGUUUGUGUGUGUGUGUGUGUGAAUGAUCUGUGUGUGUGAGCCUGCCCUGUGAUGGGUUGGUGUCCCAUCCUGGGUUGUUCCCUGCCUCGUGCCUGUAGCCUCUGGGAUCCAUCUGACCGCCUGUUCCAAAAGGCAAAUUGAUCCCCACAUCCCUGAACAGGAGAAGCGGUUUUAGAAAAUGGAUAAAUGUUCCCAGAGGUGUGAGGCAACAGUGCUAACCACUGUACCAUGCAUAUGUAUAGGAUAUGUAGAAGAAUACCUGUUGCAGUUAUCUGAUGUGUGUGUUUUUCACUCUCCCUGCCGGCCCCUGGAGGUUUGGGCUUCCCCUUUGAGUCUGGUGCCUCCCAAGGUUUCUUCCUUCUAGGGAGUUUUUCCUUGCCACUGUCGCCUAUGGCUUACUCACUGGGGGCUUUGGGUGGGGGUGCUCUAAAGCGCU